rnacentral:lncRNA from 1 species
GUUUAUGAAAUAACCAGAAUUACGUUUACUAGGACUUUCGGUACAUGACAGAUGCUAAAAGUCGUUCAAGAUUCUCAGGGUGGGUAGGAUAACAAGCUAUCUUUAUAGAUGUUAUGCUUAAAUAUCUCUCGACGUACUAAAACAUUUAAUUCCCUAAUCCUUUAGGACUUACAGAAUUUCUAUUUACUGCCAAGAUUUUACCUCAGGUUAACCAACCUUGUUAUAGAACUGAUUAUUAAAUAAAGUAUUUUUGAGUCCCUGUUGAUAAUUCCCUCCCUACUAUAUUUGAUUUCUUUCUCAAGCAAAUCAAAGUAGGUAUGUCUGCUGUUUGCAACCAACAAACGUUAAUUAAAACUUUGGAAUUAUCAAGAAAUCCUACCACCUUUUUAAUCUU